CCUACGGGAGGCAGCAGUGGGGAAUAUUGCACAAUGGGGGAAACCCUGAUGCAGCGACGCCGCGUGAGUGAAGAAGUAAUUCGUUAUGUAAAGCUCUAUCAGCUGGGAAGAAAAUGACGGUACCUGAGUAAGAAGCCCCGGCUAACUACGUGCCAGCAGCCGCGGUAAUACGUAGGGGGCAAGCGUUAGCCGGAUUUACUGGGUGGAAAGGGAGCGUAGACGGCAGUGCAAGUCUGGAGUGAAAGGCGGGGGCUCAACCCCCGGACUGCUCUGGAAACUGUACGGCUGGAGUGCAGGAGAGGUAAGUGGAAUUCCUAGGGUAGCGGUGAAAUGCGUAGAUAGUAGGAGGAACACCAGUGGCGAAGGCGGCUUACUGGACUGUAACUGACGUUGAGGCUCGAAAGCGUGGGGAGCAAACAGGAUUAGAUACCCCUGUAGUC
rnacentral:rRNA from 1 species